GCUCAGGACGAACGCUGGCGGCGUGCCUAAUACAUGCAAGUCGAGCGGACAGAUGGGAGCUUGCUCCCUGAUGUUAGCGGCGGACGGGUGAGUAACACGUGGGUAACCUGCCUGUAAGACUGGGAUAACUCCGGGAAACCGGGGCUAAUACCGGAUGGUUGUUUGAACCGCAUGGUUCAAACAUAAAAGGUGGCUUCGGCUACCACUUACAGAUGGACCCGCGGCGCAUUAGCUAGUUGGUGAGGUAACGGCUCACCAAGGCGACGAUGCGUAGCCGACCUGAGAGGGUGAUCGGCCACACUGGGACUGAGACACGGCCCAGACUCCUACGGGAGGCAGCAGUAGGGAAUCUUCCGCAAUGGACGAAAGUCUGACGGAGCAACGCCGCGUGAGUGAUGAAGGUUUUCGGAUCGUAAAGCUCUGUUGUUAGGGAAGAACAAGUACCGUUCGAAUAGGGCGGUACCUUGACGGUACCUAACCAGAAAGCCACGGCUAACUACGUGCCAGCAGCCGCGGUAAUACGUAGGUGGCAAGCGUUGUCCGGAAUUAUUGGGCGUAAAGGGCUCGCAGGCGGUUUCUUAAGUCUGAUGUGAAAGCCCCCGGCUCAACCGGGGAGGGUCAUUGGAAACUGGGGAACUUGAGUGCAGAAGAGGAGAGUGGAAUUCCACGUGUAGCGGUGAAAUGCGUAGAGAUGUGGAGGAACACCAGUGGCGAAGGCGACUCUCUGGUCUGUAACUGACGCUGAGGAGCGAAAGCGUGGGGAGCGAACAGGAUUAGAUACCCUGGUAGUCCACGCCGUAAACGAUGAGUGCUAAGUGUUAGGGGGUUUCCGCCCCUUAGUGCUGCAGCUAACGCAUUAAGCACUCCGCUGGAGA
rnacentral:rRNA from 1 species